UGUCCUACGGGGGGCAGCAGUGGGGAAUAUUGCACAAUGGGGGAAACCCUGAUGCAGCAACGCCGCGUGAAGGAAGACGGUUUUCGGAUUGUAAACUUCUGUUCUUAGUGAAGAAAAAUGACGGUAGCUAAGGAGCAAGCCACGGCUGACUACGUGCCAGCAGCCGCGGUAAUACGUAGGUGGCAAGCGUUGUCCGGAUUUACUGGGUGUAAAGGGCGUGUAGCCGGGCCGGCAAGUCAGAUGUGAAAUCCCAAGGCUCAACCUUGGAACCGCAUUUGAAACUGUUGGUCUUGAGUAUCGGAGAG
rnacentral:rRNA from 1 species